rnacentral:rRNA from 1 species
AUGAGGUACCAAAUGUGGCAUCGGCAGCUGGAUUUGACGCUGCCACACUUUGCCAAACACUUCGAAAACGAAAGUUACUUGAUCUUACUUGAUGAUGUAUGGCCUGGAUCCAUACUAGACAGUAUUAUAAAGGUACUCCCGAACAACCGAGGGAGCAAAAUUAUAGUUACCACACGGUUUGAAGCUGUUGCUGCAUCGUUUAUAAGAGAAGCCGAUAACCCUAUUUGUGAAGUUAAAGGUCUUCUUGAUGAAGAAUCCCGGGAGCUAUUUGAGAGAACCUUAUUUGAAUCCAGUGGGAGGGAACAUGUUACUAAACGGUUUGAAGCUGCUGCUACAACAUCUAAGAGAAAAGGUAGCGAAGAUGUUAUGGUUCCAGACAAAGUCUGGAAGAUGUGCAAGGGGCUCCCAUUGGCCAUAGUUACCAUGGCCGGUCAUGUAGCUUGCAACCCUAGCAAAUCAGGGGAAGAAUGGUCAAACCUUUGCAGUUAUCUAUUUCUAGAGUCUGUGAAAGAUGGUCGGCAACAACAACUUACUCAGGCUGAAGUGGGCAGGAUCGUGAGCCAUUGCUUCAACGACAUGCCUGCUGAAAUCAAGAUUUGUGCGUUGUAUUUGAGCAUAUUUCCACUGGGCAACAAAAUCAGCACGAAGAGAUUGAUGAGGCGAUGGAUUGUGGAAGGUCUUAUCAGUGAGAGGGAAGACCUGAGUGUGGAGAAUGUUGCAGUGGCAUAUUUCAAUCAUCUCAUUAGAAGGCAGGUUAUCCAACCAGUGGAGUACAACAGUAAUGGAAAUGUGAAGCAAUGUGUCGUGUACAGAAUGUUUCUUGAGUACAUUGUAGCAAAGGCAAGUGAAGACAAUUUCAUCACCGUGGCUGGUGGUACCUGGCGCACACAGCUAUCUAGAAGCAAGGUCCGCCAAAUGUCUCUUCAAGGAUGUGAUUCCAGUAAUGCAAAAGAAAUGGAGAAGAUGGACUUGUCUCAUGUACGGUCACUAACGAUGUUUGGGAGCUUGAACCAACUGCCUUCCCAUUUGUUCAAGUUUAGAAUUGUGCAUACCUUGGAUCUUGAAGGUUGCACAGGUUUCCAAGUGUGUCACACAGAUAAGAUAUGUAAAAUGCUUCUUCUCAAGUAUCUGGGCCUCCGAAGAACUGACACCAAAAGGCUUCCCGAUACCAUUGGAAAUCUGAAGAACUUAGAGACUCUGGACAUAAGGGAGACGAAUAUUGCUGAGUUGCCCGAAACCGUCUGCCAGCUUGAACGUCUGGUUAACAUAUUUGGUGGGGAUAAAAGAACAAAAAGGCCAUUGAGACUUCCUGAAGGGUUGAUUAAGAAGAGGAAAAUGAAAGCGCUUCGCAUACUAACAGGGAUUGAGAUAGUUGGUGGAUGGGUGGACCUUUACCAUUUGACCGAGCUGAGGAAGCUUGCUAUCUAUAAGCUCAACACCAUGAGCUCCAAAGAUUUGAGCUCCUAUAUUGGGCACCUAGGUGGCUGCUCUAUACAGACUCUCAUAAUUUAUGACGAGUCAUCUAAUUUCCUUGAGUCACUCUACCAUCUUUCUAGAGCACCAAUGCUCCUUGUGGCCCUUGAGUUAACUUGCAAGAUGGUGAAGAUCCCUGGUUGGAUCGCAGAACUCGCUGUUCUAAAAAAGUUAACCCUUUCAGUAACAGCUCUCCGGACAGACAACUUGAAGUACCUCAGUAAUCUAUCAUUGUUUUCUCUCACAUUUAGGGCAGCAGAAAGCCAGCAUCCAGAAACGCAUGCCAUUGUUGUGAAAAACAAGCUGUGUUCUGGUGGGGUAAUCACAGUUCCAGAUGAAGGAUUUAAGAAUCUUAAGGUUUUUCGCAUUUCUGCUCUUCGCAUGCCAUUACUCAAGUUCUCAAGGUAUGCCAUGCCAGAGCUUGAGACGCUUGAGCUAAAUUUCAGCAUGCUAGAGGGUGUUCUUGGCACAGAAAACCUUGUGAGACUCGAAAUGGUGCAUUUGAGAUUGAUGGACAAAGAAGGUGGUGAAGAUCAGACGAAAGAUGUGCAAAAGGAGAUGGAGGAAGCAGUGGAGAAGAGGACCGAUGGCAAGGCGCCGAGGGUAAUCCUUCAUGGGCGGCUAGUUGAAACGAAGCCGAAGCUGUAG